AGCGAACGCUGGCGGCAUGCCUAACACAUGCAAGUCGAACGAGACCUUCGGGUCUAGUGGCGCACGGGUGCGUAACGCGUGGGAAUCUGCCCUUGGGUUCGGGAUAACAGUUGGAAACGACUGCUAAUACCGGAUGAUGACUUCGGUCCAAAGAUUUAUCGCCCAGGGAUGAGCCCGCGUCGGAUUAGCUAGUUGGUGAGGUAAAGGCUCACCAAGGCGACGAUCCGUAGCUGGUCUGAGAGGAUGAUCAGCCACACUGGGACUGAGACACGGCCCAGACUCCUACGGGAGGCAGCAGUGGGGAAUAUUGGACAAUGGGCGAAAGCCUGAUCCAGCAAUGCCGCGUGAGUGAUGAAGGCCUUAGGGUUGUAAAGCUCUUUACCCGGGAAGAUAAUGACUGUACCGGGAGAAUAAGCCCCGGCUAACUCCGUGCCAGCCGCCGCGGUAAUAC
rnacentral:rRNA from 1 species